CCGGCGACCGGCGCACGGGUGAGUAACACGUAUGCAACCUGGCCGUCACAGGUGGAUAACCGGAAGAAAUUCCGACUAAUACAGCAUAACACUCCUGAGGGCCAUCCUUCGGGAGUCAAAGGAGGCAACUCCGGUGACGGAUGGGCAUGCGGCGCAUUAGGUAGUUGGUAGGGUAACGGCCUACCAAGCCGACGAUGCGUAGGGGUUCUGAGAGGAAGGUCCCCCACAUUGGAACUGAGACACGGUCCAAACUCCUACGGAAGGCAGCAG
rnacentral:rRNA from 1 species